GGGGAUGUACCGGUUUCGACGGGGGUAUGGAGGCAGGAAUAGCGAGCGGAUGCGCCUACCAUCCUAAAAAUGGGCAGCUUAUAAAUUAAAGAACAACAACGAUACUGUUCUUCUCGCUGCUUAAUUAGCGAGCGUUCCCUCCGGGAGGACCACGGCCCGGAACGGAGCGUCGAUCAGUGGUGCCCGUGAGUGUGCAAAGCUUUGAGCACACCACGCAUAAUGAAGCUACCGACUCUGCGAGCCUGACGGCCGGCGCGCAGGGAAGGGAAUAUAAAUGACCGUAUGCGCUCGGAGAAGUUCCUGUUAAAGUGCUUUCGGACGGGGGUUCAACUCCCCCCAUCUCCACCA
rfam:Firmicutes bacterium CAG:240 genomic scaffold, scf322